rnacentral:rRNA from 1 species
GACGAACGCUGGCGGCGUGCCUAAUACAUGCAAGUCGAGCGCUGAAGCUUUGUACUUGUGCCGUCUGGAUGAGCAGCGCACGGGUGAGUAACGCGUGGGGCAUCUGCCUUUGAGUGGGGGACAACAUGUGGAAACGAAUGCUAAUACCGCAUAAAAACUUUAAACACAAGUUUUAAGUUUGAAAGAUGCAAUUGCAUCACUCAAAGAUGAUCUCGCGGUGUGUUAGCUAGUUGGUGAGGUAAAGGCUCACCAAGGGGAAGUAACAUAGCCGACCUGAGAGGGGGGUCGGCCACAUUGGGACUGAGACACGGCACAAGCUCCCUAGGGAAGGAGCAGGAGGGCAACUUCGGCCAUGGGCGGAAGUCUGACCGAACAACGCCGCGGGAGUGAAGAAGGGUUUCGGGUCGUAAAAGUCUGUUGGUGGGGAAGAACGUGGGUGAGAGUGGAAAGCACAUCGAGUGACGGUAACUACCCAGAAAGCAACGGCUAACUACGUG